CGUCACCGGUGGGACCUAGCCACCCUGGGAACAGCCCCUCCUGGGAAAGGGGCAGGCCGCACGGCCCAAAGGAAGGGGCGUGGCUUAAGAGAGUGGCCACGGCUGGACUUUUAAGAGUCAGAUGUCACCGAAGUGUGAGGGGCGUGGCAAAUGGACGAGGUAGCGGGAGGGGCGGACCCAGGUGGAGGGCAAGUUUCCAGACUGGAGAGGGACGUGGACUGGGCGGGGCGUGGAGGCGUGGCCGUGGAGGGAGGCGGGCCGGUGACGUAAGGAAGGAGGGGCAGACGUAAACGGAACGCGGAGACGUGCCUUGGACGUGGGGGUGUGGCCCGGUCGCUCUCCUGCGUGCUGAAGAUGGUGAGAGAGACAAAGGGCGACGGCAAGCUACGAGUCGCCGCGUGGCCACAGCGGGAGUAUCGUGAUCGCUAUAGACAUGUACCGGGGUAGAAAACAGUCUUGCUGGAAAAUGGAGAACAGCCAGAAAUCUCUGCUGAGAAAAGAAGCCCUGUGCAUCUCAAAGCAGUUCCUUCACAGCCUGUUUGGGAAUCCACAGUGAACCAACGUACACCCCUCUCACCCUCUCUGCUGGGAGCUGGUGUUUAGGUUCCUGCAAGUUACUUUGCAACUGAUGAAGAUUUCAAGCUAAAGAUGAUGGUGAUAAAGAGCCUGAAGGUCACUCUUCAAGCAGCUCCCUGCAAGUCUCUGUGUAAAAGGUUCCUGGUUCCCAGGUCCGUGAACCAAGUUCCUCCAGUCUCUAUACCUGCACCUAAGAACCCGAAACUGAUCCUAGUCUCUUGCUUUGGACUGACCAAGGGCAACAGCAGGGGGAGACUGGAGCGUGGGGAGGAAGAGGAGGAAGGAGAUGAGACCCCGAGGUGGGUUGGAAUAGGAACCCUCACUCGGGCCUUGGAGGCAGGAGUCACGGCUUGA
rnacentral:lncRNA from 1 species